rnacentral:rRNA from 1 species
CACGUAGGUGGCGAGCGUUGUCCGGAAUUACUGGGUGUAAAGGGCGUGUAGGCGGGAGAGCAAGUCAGAUGUGAAAGCCCAAGGCUCAACUUUGGGACUGCAUCUGAAACUGUUCUUCUUGAGUACUGGAGAGGGAAGCGGAAUUCCUAGUGUAGCGGUGAAAUGCGUAGAGAUUAGGAGGAACACCAGUGGCGAAGGCGGCUUCCUGGACAGAGACUGACGCUGAGGCGCGAAAGCGUGGGGAGCGAACAGGAUUAGAUACC